GGCUGUUAAUGGAUGAGGUUUUCAAAUGGCCAAGGCCUGGGGUGGGGUGCUGGACUAGCUCGAUCAGGGAUAUAUAUGUAUGUCCGUAAAAGUGUGUGGGGAUGGAGGAAAGGUUUGCAUAAAAGUUAGUCAUAUAUUUUAGCGGGAUUAUGAAACCUAUUUCUUACAAAGGCGUGUUUUUAGGCCAGAGUUCAAAACUUUGAAGAUAGUAACAGUUCAAAGAGAAAGGGGCAGAACAAUUUUUUAAGUGGAGCCAGAAAAAGAUUGUGUGGCACAAAAUAAUGAGGUCAAAACACAAGCAGAGCAAACAGACCAAUUCAGAUGGCAAGAAGACAGCAGCUAAAGGGGGCUCCACACGGGUUUGGCAAACACUGUUUUCUUGAACCAUCAGUAUCCCGAACGCAAGGAAAAUGGGUUCAUGGAAACAGUUUACCCGCUUGCGAUGCCACACGGGCAGACUUGUUUGCGAAAAAGUUAGAAAGUGCGCGACAGUAGCGUCCCUUGAUUUCUGCAAUGGCGGACUCAGCAGACGACGAGAUGUUGAUGCUUGCAGCAGCACUUCGUUUUAAAGAAAAAGAAGACAAAGCGAAGGUGGUGGGUAUGACCAUAGCUUAAAAGAAGAGCCCAGCAAGGCGCCUACAAUGCUCUAAUAAGGAAGCUGUGUGCUGAGGAUUCAGAUUCUUACAGCAACUUUGUGAGAAUGGAUCCGCAUUUGCUACUCUCACGUAGAGAGUCGUACAUCGCAAAGCAGAUAACAAAUAGGCGCAAGUGCAUCUCACCUGGCGAAAAGCUUAUUGUGAGACACUGAGAUUUCUAGCCACAGGAGACAGUUACCAGUCCUUGUGUUUUAUCUAUCGUCGGCAGAUCGAGAUGUACCAUUGGGGAAAUCAUUCCAGACACAUAUAGAGCAAUUGCUAUUGCUCUGAAAGAUCAGUAUUUGAAGGUUCCCAAUACAAAGCAAGAAUGGGAAGCCAUUGCAAGAGCCUUUAAAAGAAAAAUGGAAUUUUCCACACUGUAUUGGGGUUAUAGAUGGAAAAAUAUUGCUAUAAAGGCCCCACCAAGAAGUGGUUCUAUGUACUUUAAUUAUAAAGACUUUCAUUCAGUUGUUUUUCUGGCCGUGGUAGAUUCAUUUUAUCGGUUUAUUGGUAUGAUGUAGGGGAAAACAGAAGAAACAAUACUGCCGGAAUAGUUGCCUGCACUACACUUUCCAAUACACUUGAAAGUAAGACCCUACAAGUUCCUGCACCAAGGGAACUUGCUCAUUUACAUAUUAAGAUGCCUUUUGUACUUGUGGGAGAUGAGGCAUUCCCAUUGAAGGAACACCUUAUGAAGCCAUAUCCCCAACAAGGACAAGGUGAUCAUGAAAAAAUUUUCAAUUAUCGCUUAAGUAGAGUGCAGUGUGUCUCUGAUGAUGCCUUAGGCAUCUUGGUCAACCGAUUCAGAGUGCUGUCAAAUAUAUUAAAUCUCUCUCCUGAUGUGGCUGCUUGUGUAACAGAAAGCUGUGUAGCGAUAGCUCUGUUGAAAGAAUUUUUUCAAAGGUAAUCAUUCUACUCUUUCUGCAAGAGAAGUGAGAGACAAAUUUCGUGACUACUUCUGGGCUCAUGGUGAGGCUCACUGGCAGUGAGAUCAAAUAUAAAACUAUUUGUUGCAAUGUAUCUGCCUAAGAGUCCAUGGUCUUUAAGAAUAAGAUUUUUUCCUAAAAUAAACUUGCUGAGCUGGUCAGAAACAUUUCAUUUUUUUAAUUUAUUGUCUGUUUAUAAUAGUUACAAUCGACAUACUAUUUGUAGUGUUUUUAUAUAUCUGAUUUUGAUAGUUUUGAGCAAUUAUUUAUAAUUGUGGCAAUUGUAGUGACAUACAGCCAUCUCCCACAGUCAUUUAAGGUCUGUAUAGUCAUGAAAUUAAUAAUGUUUUAUCCAAAUAAAGUUUUAUUUUUUUAAUAAAUGUAUUUUGCAAAUUACAGUGUAUGCUCAGAGAUCUGUUUGUGAUAUACAAUUUAUUAUCUGGUCUGUGAAUAUUUCAUGACAAAUAUAAUUGAUUGUAGACAAGUUGAGUGGAAGGAGGGUGGAAUGCUCAGCAUUGUUGAACUUGACGACAAAAUUUUUUAUCAAACUGUUCGCAGUAGGAUAUUUUGAGCCACCUUAAACAACCUUUGUGACAAGAUGUAAUAAAUUUAUUAUAUGUUGCUGUGUGUAUAUAUAGAGUAUAAAUAAACCAUUCUGUUUACCAAGUUUUAAGAUGUUGGUGCCACUAGAGACAUUACUGGCAACAGGAAUUUCAACUGCUGAAAAAAGGCCAUGAACUGUUGUAGGCAUCACAUGCUCCAGCCCCACUUACUAUAGUUUUAUUUAUUUUAUGCAUUUCCCUUGAAAAUGUGUUUCGGAGGCUGGCUACCUUUGCUUGGAUAUGGGCAACUGCAACAUAGUAGUAGAAUCUUAUGAAAUAAAUAACUAGCUGCCCAAA